rnacentral:misc_RNA from 1 species
AACAACUGUAUGCAGUCUUCUUCUUUUCAUCCUUGACAAAUGACUCAUGUCAUCAGUUCAAUUGACCAGGUAUAUGCACAGGGAAAUGAUGAGUUACUAAGAAAUGUCUGAUUUCAGCAGGUUACGUACAUGGCUUGUGUUAGAGCAACUUGUUAAAUCAUCAGAUUGUAGUCAUUGUCUUGAUAUCUUCUCUGCUUCAAAUUUGUUAGAGAGAACUCAUGCAAACAAUUGCCAAUUGUUCAUGGAAGUGUGUGGAAUCUGCAGAAAACUAUCACAACAAAAUAAAGUUUAAAUGACUGACCAGGAUAGGUAGUGAGGUUUGUUUAGCUAUGCAUUGUUGACAAGUUAUCACACAUCUGCUACCAGAAGAAAUCUUUGCCUUCUACACGAGUGCUCCCGACAGUUAGACACCCUCCAAUACCCUCCAAUAGCUUUUGAACUUUUUGCAGUGACUAAUACUGAGAUCUUGAAUGAAUAUAAACCUUUCUAUUUUCAUCCAGGAAUCUCCCUAUUUGAGAACCUCCAUAUUCUCAAGAGAAGUUGACUUUUGAAUUAAUAAGUCAAAAAGCAUAGGCCAAUUCCUGAAGAGAAAAAUAAAAUGAGUGCAGAAAGUGAAGAAUAUCUAACUAAUGAUCUCUAGAUAAC